GAUGAACGCUGGCGGCGUGCCUAAUACAUGCAAGUCGAGCGAACAGAUAAGGAGCUUGCUCCUUUGACGUUAGCGGCGGACGGGUGAGUAACACGUGGAUAACCUACCUAUAAGACUGGGAUAACUUCGGGAAACCGGAUCUAAUACCGGAUAACAUAUUGAACCGCAUGGUUCAAUAGUGAAAGGCGGCUUUGCUGUCACUUAUAGAUGGAUCCGCGCCGUAUUAGCUAGUUGGUAAGGUAACGGCUUACCAAGGCAACGAUACGUAGCCGACCUGAGAGGGUGAUCGGCGACACUGGAACUGAGACACGGUCCAGACGACUACGGGAGGAAGCAGAAGGGAAUCUUACGCAAUGGGCGAAAGCCUGACGGAGCAACGCCGCGUGAGUGAUGAAGGUCUUCGGAUCGUAAAACUCUGUUAUCAGGGAAGAACAAAUGUGUAAGUAACUGUGCACAUAUUGACGGUAACUGAUCAGAAAGCCACGGCUAACUACGUG
rnacentral:rRNA from 1 species